UACGUAGGGGGCAAGCGUUGUCCGGAUUUAUUGGGCGUAAAGAGCGUGUAGGCGGCCAGAUAGGUCUGUUGUGAAAACUCGAGGCUCAACCUCGAGACGCCGAUGGAACCAUUUGGCUAGGAGUCCGGAAGAGGAGAGUGGGAAUUCCGUGGUGUAGCGGUGAAAUGCGCAGAGUAUCAGGAAGAACACCCGUGGCUAAGGCGGCUCUCUAGUACGGUACUGACGCUGAGACGCGAAAGCGUGGGGAGC
rnacentral:rRNA from 1 species